rfam:Camelus ferus unplaced genomic scaffold scaffold473, whole genome shotgun sequence.
GAGGUUAUGGCUCAGCGGUAGAGUGCAUGCUUAGCAUGCAUGAGGUUCUGGGUUCGAUCCCCAAUACUUCCA